AAAAAGAAGAAGGUGAAUUCUCCGAUGGAAGUGGAGAUGGAGAGAACCAUGCGCGUGAGACAUACGCUUGAAUAUAGAGCAGUCAAAACCCCUUGCGUCAUAUUAUAGCUAGCUCUCUCUGUAAGUAGCUUUUUCUCUCAGUUUUUUUGUUCCCAAUAUUCAAUUUUUAAAUCUAUUCCCUUAUUUAUUUAUUUAUUCAAUGUUUCAAUAAUUGAUGUUCCACGGCGAAUUGUAUGCAUGGUCAUGAUCAUCCUGUUGGAUAGACAUUUGAUUCAAAACAAGUUUAGGGUUUCAAAUUUAUAUUUUAAUGAGAAAAUGAGUUUUUAAAAUUUUGAUUGUAAGGAGAAAAUGAUUUGUAAUCUACUGUCAUUUUUAUGAAAGCAUGUUUUAAUUAGUUGGUUCUUGUGUGUAUUAUAUGAGGUGAAUUGAUUUAUUUUUGGAAUUUAAAAAUCCAUUGUUUAAUUUGGAUUUUGAGAGGGUGCUAUAAUCAUAUAAUAUUAAAGUGGUCCAACAAUUAUAAUUUGAAGUAGAUUUGUUUAGUGUAUUAUUUACUUUGAGGUAAAAAACAUUAUCAGGUGUCAAAUCGGGGUUUAUUAAAAUUGGAAUGUUAUAAGUUAGCUAAAGUUAAAGAAUAUGUUCAUAGUGAGGAUCUAUCAAGUUUUGUUUUUUAUGUUAUUUAAUAGGUUAUAAAAUGCCUUACGGAAAAUUGAAUCACUUGGCCACUUGAGGCUGUUGACCUCUUUAUAUGCCUAUUAAUGGAAAGUAUUGGAAAUGUUAUAAGUUAGCUAAAGUUAAAAGAAUAUGUUCAUAGUGAGGAUAUAUCAAGUUUUUUUUUUUGAUGUUAUUUAAUAGGUUAUAAGAAUGCCUUAGGGAAAAUUGAAUCACUUGGGCAUUUGAGACUGUUGACCUCUUUAUAUGCCUAUUAGUGGAAAGUAUAAUGCCAAUGUUUCAAGCAUAAUCUAGGGAACUUCUGAUUUUAGUAUUAGCAUUUUUAUUUAGCUUUGGGCAAAAAGCUAAAACCAAAUUAUAUUAUUUACUCCUCAACUAGAUUCUAUAUGUUGUGAUAAAUUCUUGCCCAAGGUUCUCAUUAUAGUAUUCCAAUUUUCAAAGCAAAUAAUAUUAUCCAUUUCCUUGUAUUGUAACCAAGAUUUACUGACUGUGAAGAUUAAAGUAGUUUAUGAUGCAUUUUAAUAGAUGCAUGUAAUUUGAUUAAGAGAUGAAAAAAAAACUUUUAACAAAAUAUAUAGAACCCCUAUAUGGGUCUAAAAUCUAUACUUUUAAGGACUGCCAGAGGCAGAGUAAGCCAGCUUAAGGGAAUCUUCGUGCAGUUUAAUUUCUGUGAACAUUUCUACUGAUAUCAUUGAAAAGCAAUGCAUUUACUGCCUGAGUUAACAUAAUCUAAAGAAUUGUUUUACCGUAUUUUUAUGAGAUGGAGAGCUCUUGUUAUAAAAGAAGCUAAAUAGAACUUUCUCAUGACUAUAUGAGAGUAAAUUUACUAUAAAAUUGUAUUUGUUUGAGUUUUUUUAUUAUGAAUUUCUUCUUUGUUUGAAAUACAAAACUAAGUUGUGCGGCCUGUAAAUGUAUCACUGUUAAAGUUGUAGAUAACUAAUAUCAAUAAUUAUUAAAGAUCAUGUCAUAUAGCUUUAUCUUUGAGAGUUCUAAAUCUAGGUCCACUAUACACUCAUGUAAAGGAUCCAAAGUUCCGGUAAAAAGAAAACAAAAAAACAGAGAGAUCCCACAGCAUUAAUAACAUUAUCCGGUUCUAAUUUUUUUCAGUUUCCUUGACAAGCGGAAAAAUCUAUUCACUGGAUGGUGAUGACAAUGAUCUCUGUAAAGUCCUCUAGUCUUAUCUGUAAUAUUAUCAUUAGCAUAGUUUGGAAUGAAGGUAGGAAUUCAGUCUAAUGUGACAUACAAGGAAGGUCAAAGUAGGGUGAUAUAUUACUCCCAGCUGCAUUGCAGAUUUGUGGCGAUGUUGCUCCAAUUUGGUUGGUAAAAGGAAGAAUAUAUCAAUUUUUGAGUGCCAUGCUGCGACUUAUUAAAAUAAAUCAGAAAAAAAGAAUAAUUAUUGCUGUGGUUAGCAGGAGAAAACUAGCAUGUCAUGUUUAUGGAAACAACACACCAGUUAAGACCUAAUUUAAGUACAUAGUUCAGAAUGAAACUAUUCAAGUGCUUAACUAUUAUAUGCUAAUUUACUUAAAAAUAUUGUGUGAUCAACUUCCAUAAUGUUACGAAGAAGAUUGAAAAACAUUGGACUCUAAAGUUUACUUGUAGUAUUUCAGAAGAAAAAGCUAAACAACACGACUUCAUAAAUUAUAGUUUUCCAGGACAGAGAGAAGAGAGAUUGACUCAAUACAUUAAACAAGUCUCAGCUAGUGCAUUUUCUAUAUCUUGCUGCAUGCAUAUUCGCUGGUUACUUCUUCAGUGUGUCUAUGUAUCUGCCCUCCAUGAUAUCAUUACCUGAGAUGUACUCAAGAAAACCAUUGAAGCUGCCUUCUUUGUAUGAAAUGGGGUGCUGGUCGUCCACAAGCUCUGGUGCAGGUACUACCUUUUUUUCUAAAGCUAGGCUGUGAAGACUAGAAAUGGAAAUACGUUUCUUCACUGAGUUGACAGUUGCUCGAUGAAAAACACUCUUGUAUCGACCAUUGCUCAUUAUUUCCAUUUGAUCUCCCAGAUGGACUAUUAGAGCUCCUUCAAUUAGCGGAACAGAAUGCCACUUCUUAUCAUGAUCCAUGAUUUCUAGUCCCUGCUGGCUUUGAUUUAUGAUAGUGAGCAAUCCAAAAUCUGAGUGUAGU
rnacentral:lncRNA from 1 species